rnacentral:rRNA from 1 species
UUAAGCGACUAAGCGUACACGGUGGAUGCCCUGGCAGUCAGAGGCGAUGAAGGACGUGCUAAUCUGCGAUAAGCGUCGGUAAGGUGAUAUGAACCGUUAUAACCGGCGAUUUCCGAAUGGGGAAACCCAGUGUGUUUCGACACACUAUCAUUAACUGAAUCCAUAGGUUAAUGAGGCGAACCGGGGGAACUGAAACAUCUAAGUACCCCGAGGAAAAGAAAUCAACCGAGAUUCCCCCAGUAGCGGCGAGCGAACGGGGAGCAGCCCAGAGCCUGAAUCAGUGUGUGUGUUAGUGGAAGCGUCUGGAAAGGCGCGCGAUACAGGGUGACAGCCCCGUACACAAAAAUGCACAUGCUGUGAGCUCGAUGAGUAGGGCGGGACACGUGGUAUCCUGUCUGAAUAUGGGGGGACCAUCCUCCAAGGCUAAAUACUCCUGACUGACCGAUAGUGAACCAGUACCGUGAGGGAAAGGCGAAAAGAACCCCGGCGAGGGGAGUGAAAAAGAACCUGAAACCGUGUACGUACAAGCAGUGGGAGCACGCUUAGGCGUGUGACUGCGUACCUUUUGUAUAAUGGGUCAGCGACUUAUAUUCUGUAGCAAGGUUAACCGAAUAGGGGAGCCGAAGGGAAACCGAGUCUUAACUGGGCGUUAAGUUGCAGGGUAUAGACCCGAAACCCGGUGAUCUAGCCAUGGGCAGGUUGAAGGUUGGGUAACACUAACUGGAGGACCGAACCGACUAAUGUUGAAAAAUUAGCGGAUGACUUGUGGCUGGGGGUGAAAGGCCAAUCAAACCGGGAGAUAGCUGGUUCUCCCCGAAAGCUAUUUAGGUAGCGCCUCGUGAAUUCAUCUCCGGGGGUAGAGCACUGUUUCGGCAAGGGGGUCAUCCCGACUUACCAACCCGAUGCAAACUGCGAAUACCGGAGAAUGUUAUCACGGGAGACACACGGCGGGUGCUAACGUCCGUCGUGAAGAGGGAAACAACCCAGACCGCCAGCUAAGGUCCCAAAGUCAUGGUUAAGUGGGAAACGAUGUGGGAAGGCCCAGACAGCCAGGAUGUUGGCUUAGAAGCAGCCAUCAUUUAAAGAAAGCGUAAUAGCUCACUGGUCGAGUCGGCCUGCGCGGAAGAUGUAACGGGGCUAAACCAUGCACCGAAGCUGCGGCAGCGACGCUUAUGCGUUGUUGGGUAGGGGAGCGUUCUGUAAGCCUGCGAAGGUGUACUGUGAGGUAUGCUGGAGGUAUCAGAAGUGCGAAUGCUGACAUAAGUAACGAUAAAGCGGGUGAAAAGCCCGCUCGCCGGAAGACCAAGGGUUCCUGUCCAACGUUAAUCGGGGCAGGGUGAGUCGACCCCUAAGGCGAGGCCGAAAGGCGUAGUCGAUGGGAAACAGGUUAAUAUUCCUGUACUUGGUGUUACUGCGAAGGGGGGACGGAGAAGGCUAUGUUGGCCGGGCGACGGUUGUCCCGGUUUAAGCGUGUAGGCUGGUUUUCCAGGCAAAUCCGGAAAAUCAAGGCUGAGGCGUGAUGACGAGGCACUACGGUGCUGAAGCAACAAAUGCCCUGCUUCCAGGAAAAGCCUCUAAGCAUCAGGUAACAUCAAAUCGUACCCCAAACCGACACAGGUGGUCAGGUAGAGAAUACCAAGGCGCUUGAGAGAACUCGGGUGAAGGAACUAGGCAAAAUGGUGCCGUAACUUCGGGAGAAGGCACGCUGAUAUGUAGGUGAAGUCCCUUGCGGAUGGAGCUGAAAUCAGUCGAAGAUACCAGCUGGCUGCAACUGUUUAUUAAAAACACAGCACUGUGCAAACACGAAAGUGGACGUAUACGGUGUGACGCCUGCCCGGUGCCGGAAGGUUAAUUGAUGGGGUCAGCGCAAGCGAAGCUCUUGAUCGAAGCCCCGGUAAACGGCGGCCGUAACUAUAACGGUCCUAAGGUAGCGAAAUUCCUUGUCGGGUAAGUUCCGACCUGCACGAAUGGCGUAAUGAUGGCCAGGCUGUCUCCACCCGAGACUCAGUGAAAUUGAACUCGCUGUGAAGAUGCAGUGUACCCGCGGCAAGACGGAAAGACCCCGUGAACCUUUACUAUAGCUUGACACUGAACAUUGAGCCUUGAUGUGUAGGAUAGGUGGGAGGCUUUGAAGUGUGGACGCCAGUCUGCAUGGAGCCGACCUUGAAAUACCACCCUUUAAUGUUUGAUGUUCUAACGUUGACCCGUGAUCCGGGUUGCGGACAGUGUCUGGUGGGUAGUUUGACUGGGGCGGUCUCCUCCUAAAGAGUAACGGAGGAGCACGAAGGUUGGCUAAUCCUGGUCGGACAUCAGGAGGUUAGUGCAAUGGCAUAAGCCAGCUUGACUGCGAGCGUGACGGCGCGAGCAGGUGCGAAAGCAGGUCAUAGUGAUCCGGUGGUUCUGAAUGGAAGGGCCAUCGCUCAACGGAUAAAAGGUACUCCGGGGAUAACAGGCUGAUACCGCCCAAGAGUUCAUAUCGACGGCGGUGUUUGGCACCUCGAUGUCGGCUCAUCACAUCCUGGGGCUGAAGUAGGUCCCAAGGGUAUGGCUGUUCGCCAUUUAAAGUGGUACGCGAGCUGGGUUUAGAACGUCGUGAGACAGUUCGGUCCCUAUCUGCCGUGGGCGCUGGAGAAUUGAGGGGGGCUGCUCCUAGUACGAGAGGACCGGAGUGGACGCAUCACUGGUGUUCGGGUUGUCAUGCCAAUGGCACUGCCCGGUAGCUAAAUGCGGAAGAGAUAAGUGCUGAAAGCAUCUAAGCACGAAACUUGCCCCGAGAUGAGUUCUCCCUGACUCCUUGAGAGUCCUGAAGGAACGUUGAAGACGACGACGUUGAUAGGCCGGGUGUGUAAGCGCAGCGAUGCGUUGAGCUAACCGGUACUAAUGAACCGUGAGGCUUAACCUU